CCUACGGGAGGCAGCAGUGGGGAAUCUUUCACAAUGGGGGAAACCCUGAUGCAGCAACGCCGCGUGAAUGAUGACGGCCUUCGGGUUGUAAAGCUCUGUUUUCAGGGACGAUAAUGACGGUACCUUAGGAGUAAGCCACGGCUAACUACGUGCCAGCAGCCGCGGUAAUACGUAGGUGGCGAGCGUUGUCCGGAUUUACGGGGCGUAAAGAGAGCGUAGGCGGGCUUUUAAGUGAGAUGGUAAAUACUCGGGCUAAACUUUAGUGCUAUAUUUCAAACUGGAAUUCUAGAGUGCAGGAGAGGAGAAUGGAAUUCCUAGUGUAGCGGUGAAAUGCGUAGAGAUUAGGAAGAACACCAGUGGCGAAGGCGAUUCUCUGGACUGGAACUGACGCUGAGGCUCGAAAGCGUAGGGAGCAAACAGGAUUAGAUACCCGAGUAGUC
rnacentral:rRNA from 1 species